GUCCCCGUCUUACACCGAGGCCUCCUGUGAGUGGAGAGCUCUGGAUGAAUGGGGUAAAUGAACCUGCUCUCUUCCCUCCCUGCUGGAGACUGUUCCUCUCAGGGUCUACAUACCAGCUCACAUU